ACCUGGUUGAUUCUGCCGGACCCGACUGCUAUCAGAGUGGGACUAAGCCAUGCGAGUCAACAUAGCAAUAUGUGGCAUACGGCUCAGUAACACGUAGUCAACAUGCCCAGGGGACGUGGAUAACCUCGGGAAACUGAGGAUAAACCGCGAUAAGUCACUACUUCUGGAAUGGGUAAUGACUCAAAUCUAUAUGGCCCCUGGAUUGGACUGCGGCCGAUCAGGCUGUUGGUGAGGUAAUGGCCCACCAAACCUGUAACCGGUACGGGCUCUGAGAGGAGGAGCCCGGAGAUGGGCACUGAGACAAGGGCCCAGGCCCUAUGGGGCGCAGCAGGCGCGAAACCUCUGCAAUAGGCGAAAGCUUGACAGGGUUACUCUGAGUGAUUUCCGUUAAGGAAAUCUUUUGGCACCUCUAAAAAUGGUGCAGAAUAAGGGGUGGGCAAGUCUGGUGUCAGCCGCCGCGGUAAUACCAGCACCCCGAGUGGUCGGGACGUUUAUUGGGCCUAAAGCAUCCGUAGCCGGUUCUACAAGUCUUCCGUUAAAUCCAACUGCUUAACAGGUGGGCUGCGGAAGAUACUAUAGAGCUAGGAGGCGGGAGAGGCAAGCGGUACUCGAUGGGUAGGGGUAAAAUCCGUUGAUCCAUUGAAGACCACCAGUGGCGAAGGCGGCUUGCCAGAACGCGCUCGACGGUGAGGGAUGAAAGCUGGGGGAGCAAACCGGAUUAGAUACCCGGGUAGUCCCAGCUGUAAACGAUGCAGACUCGGUGAUGAGUUGGCUAUAUGCCAACUCAGUGCCGCAGGGAAGCCGUUAAGUUUGCCGCCUGGGGAGUACGGUCGCAAGACUGAAACUUAAAGGAAUUGGCGGGGGAGCACCACAAGGGGUGAAGCCUGCGGUUCAAUUGGAGUCAACGCCGGA
rnacentral:rRNA from 1 species